UUUUUUCUUGACCUUG
rnacentral:sRNA from 1 species